rnacentral:ribozyme from 1 species
AAGUGCUGUAAAAUAAUAAUAGACAGAAGAAGCAAGAAAGUUACUUAUUCUUUUUUGUUCUUCUUGUAUCUUCUUCCCAAACUCUGAACUCCUUAUAUUCAUCAAAGCAAGGGAACUACACAACUAGACAAUAGCAAUGGCAAUUAUUUUCUUCCAG